AGGAAACACCACAACUCUGUACAAAAACACUACAUCCACUAGAGGGAGUCACACACUGUUACACCUCAGUGGUUUCUUAUGAUCUCGUUCAGAUUGUCUUCAGUUGUGAUGAGCAGCUUUAGAAGUGUAGAUCAUGUGACAGACAAGUCUCCUCCCACUGACUGUAGAGAUGUCUGCUCAGUACAGAACUGUUAAAUUCCAGCUGUGAACAUCAGACCAAACACAAACCACUCACAGCUUCAUCUCACUGAAUGAACAGUUCCUACAUUUCUCAGACCUAAACAUGGAAAAACUGGCUGCUCUUUUCUUCCUCUCGGCUCUUUUAGGUAACAGCUGUGAAGAUGAUAUUACUGCCAACAGAGCUGCAGUGUUUUCAGCAGAAGGUCAAACUGUCUCUCUGUCCUGUAACUACUCAGUGAAAGCUCAAAAUCUCCAGUGGUAUCGACAGGAUCCUGGAUCUGCUCCUCACUAUCUUCUCAUGAUCACUGACACUAAAGAGCCUGAGGUUUUGAAAGCUGCAGCUGUGAACUCUCGACUGACUGCUGAACUGAACCAGGAGAGAAACCAAGUGUAUCUGCAGAUCAUCUCAGCUGCAGUGACAGACUCUGCUUUUUACUACUGUGCUCUGACGCCCACAGUGACAGGAAACACCACAACUCUGUACAAAAACACUACAUCCACUAGAGGGAGUCACACACUGUUACACCUCAGUGUUUGUGAUGAUGUUUCUUUCAUACGACAGAGAAUCUGACUGUGAGGUUUUUAUAGUUUUACAAUGAGAAAAACAAUGUUGGAGUGAAAUAUUUAAUA